rnacentral:rRNA from 1 species
AACGCGAAGAACCUUACCUGGCCUUGACAUGUCUGGAACCCCUGAGAGAUUGGGGGGUGCCUUCGGGAACCAGAACACAGGUGCUGCAUGGCUGUCGUCAGCUCGUGUCGUGAGAUGUUGGGUUAAGUCCCGCAACGAGCGCAACCCUUGUCCCUAGUUGCCAGCACGUAAAGGUGGGAACUCUAGGGAGACCGCCGGUGACAAACCGGAGGAAGGUGGGGAUGACGUCAAGUCCUCAUGGCCCUUACGGCCAGGGCUACACACGUACUACAAUGGUGGGUACAAAGGGUUGCCAAGCCGCGAGGUGGAGCCAAUCCCAGAAAACCCAUCUCAGUCCGGAUCGGAGUCUGCAACUCGACUCCGUGAAGUCGGAAUCGCUAGUAAUCGCGGAUCAGCAAUGCCGCGGUGAAUACGUUCCCGGGCCUUGUACACACCGAUAGC